rnacentral:rRNA from 1 species
GGCCGGGCGACGGUUGUCCCGGUUUAAGCGUGUAGGCUGGUUUUCCAGGCAAAUCCGGAAAACCAAGGCUGAGGCGUGAUGACGAGGCACUACGGUGCUGAAGCGACAAAUGCCCUGCUUCCAGGAAAAGCCUCUAAGCAUCAGGUAACAUCAAAUCGUACCCCAAACCGACACAGGUGGUCAGGUAGAGAAUACCAAGGCGCUUGAGAGAACUCGGGUGAAGGAACUAGGCAAAAUGGUGCCGUAACUUCGGGAGAAGGCACGCUGAUAUGUAGGUGAAGCGACUUGCUCGUGGAGCUGAAAUCAGUCGAAGAUACCAGCUGGCUGCAACUGUUUAUUAAAAACACAGCACUGUGCAAACACGAAAGUGGACGUAUACGGUGUGACGCCUGCCCGGUGCCGGAAGGUUAAUUGAUGGGGUUAGCGGCAACGCGAAGCUCUUGAUCGAAGCCCCGGUAAACGGCGGCCGUAACUAUAACGGUCCUAAGGUAGCGAAAUUCCUUGUCGGGUAAGUUCCGACCUGCACGAAUGGCGUAAUGAUGGCCAGGCUGUCUCCACCCGAGACUCAGUGAAAUUGAACUCGCUGUGAAGAUGCAGUGUACCCGCGGCAAGACGGAAAGACCCCGUGAACCUUUACUAUAGCUUGACACUGAACAUUGAGCCUUGAUGUGUAGGAUAGGUGGGAGGCUUUGAAGUGUGGACGCCAGUCUGCAUGGAGCCGACCUUGAAAUACCACCCUUUAAUGUUUGAUGUUCUAACGUUGGCCCCUAAUCGGGGUUGCGGACAGUGUCUGGUGGGUAGUUUGACUGGGGCGGUCUCCUCCUAAAGAGUAACGGAGGAGCACGAAGGUUGGCUAAUCCUGGUCGGACAUCAGGAGGUUAGUGCAAUGGCAUAAGCCAGCUUGACUGCGAGCGUGACGGCGCGAGCAGGUGCGAAAGCAGGUCAUAGUGAUCCGGUGGUUCUGAAUGGAAGGGCCAUCGCUCAACGGAUAAAAGGUACUCCGGGGAUAACAGGCUGAUACCGCCCAAGAGUUCAUAUCGACGGCGGUGUUUGGCACCUCGAUGUCGGCUCAUCACAUCCUGGGGCUGAAGUAGGUCCCAAGGGUAUGGCUGUUCGCCAUUUAAAGUGGUACGCGAGCUGGGUUUAGAACGUCGUGAGACAGUUCGGUCCCUAUCUGCCGUGGGCGCUGGAGAACUGAGGGGGGCUGCUCCUAGUACGAGAGGACCGGAGUGGACGCAUCACUGGUGUUCGGGUUGUCAUGCCAAUGGCACUGCCCGGUAGCUAAAUGCGGAAGAGAUAAGUGCUGAAAGCAUCUAAGCACGAAACUUGCCCCGAGAUGAGUUCUCCCUGAGACUUAGAGUCUCCUGAAGGAACGUUGAAGACGACGACGUUGAUAGGCCGGGUGUGUAAGCGCAGCGAUGCGUUGAGCUAACCGGUACUAAUGAACCGUGAGGCUUAACCUUA